rnacentral:rRNA from 1 species
GAUGAACGCUGGCGGCGUGCCUAAUACAUGCAAGUCGAGCGAACAGACGAGGAGCUUGCUCCUCUGACGUUAGCGGCGGACGGGUGAGUAACACGUGGAUAACCUACCUAUAAGACUGGGAUAACUUCGGGAAACCGGAGCUAAUACCGGAUAAUAUAUUGAACCGCAUGGUUCAAUAGUGAAAGACGGUUUUGCUGUCACUUAUAGAUGGAUCCGCGCCGCAUUAGCUAGUUGGUAAGGUAACGGCCUACCAAGGCAACGAUGCGUAGCCGACCUGAGAGGGUGGUCGGCGACACUGGAACUGAGACACGGUCCAGACUCCUACGGGAGGCAGCAGUAGGGAAUCUUCCGCAAUGGGCGAAAGCCUGACGGAGCAACGCCGCGUGAGUGAUGAAAGUCUUCGGAUCGUAAAACUCUGUUAUUAGGGAAGAACAAAUGUGUAAGUAACUAUGCACGUCUUGACGGUACCUAAUCAGAAAGCCACGGCUAACUACGUG